rnacentral:tRNA from 1 species
GGAGAAUUAGCUCAGCUGGGAGAGCAUCUGCCUUACAAGCAGAGGGUCGGCGGUUCGAACCCGCGACCCCA